UACGUAGGCAGCGAGCGUUGUUCGGAGUUACUGGGCGUAAAGGGUGUGUAGGCGGUUGUUUAAGUUUGGUGUGAAAUCUCCCGGCUCAACUGGGAGGGUGCGCCGAAUACUGAAUGACUUGGAGUGCGGGAGAGGAGAGUGGAAUUCCUGGUGUAGCGGUGAAAUGCGUAGAUAUCAGGAGGAACACCGGUGGUGUAAACGGCUUUCUGGACCAUAACUGACGCUGAGGCACGAAGGCGUGGGGAGCGAACGGG
rnacentral:rRNA from 1 species